rnacentral:rRNA from 1 species
GACGAACGCUGGCGGCGUGCCUAAUACAUGCAAGUAGAACGCACAGUUUAUACCGUAGCUUGCUACACAAUAGACGGUGAGUUGCGAACGGGUGAGUAACGCGUAUGUAACCUGCCUGGUAGCGGGGGAUAACUACUGGAAACGAUAGCUAAUACCGCAUAAUAUUGAUUAUUGCAUGAUAAAUGAUUGAAUGAUGCUAUCGCAUCGCUACCAGAUGGACCUGCGUUGUAUUAGCUAGUAGGAGAGGUAACGGAUCACCUAGGCCAAGGUAGAAAGCCGACCUGGGAGGACGGUGCGCCCACCUGGGAACUGAGCACGGCCCAGACCUCUACGGGGGGCAGCCGGAGGGGAUCUUCGGACAAGGGCCAAAGUCUUGAUGGAGAACGGCGCGGGAGGGAAGAAGGGCUUCGGAUCGUAAAGCUCUGUUGUUAGGGGAGAACGGGUGUGAGAGUGGAAAGAUCUCAGUGUGACGGUAUCUUACCAGAAAGAGACGGCUAACUACGUG